GCUGGGCGUGGUGGCUCACGCCCGUAAUCCCAGCACUUUGGGAGGCCGAGGCAGGAGGAUCACCUGAGGCCAGGAGUUUGAGAUCAGCCUGGCCAACAGGGUGAAACCCAGUCUCUA
rfam:Homo sapiens chromosome 8, GRCh38 reference primary assembly.